UGUUCUAAUUCAGGAAGGUCAGGUGAGAAUUGGUGUUUUCUUUGGUUUUAGCCUUUGAGUAAAAUUAUUUACCUAUUUGAUAAACACAUUCAUAGUUAUCUUUGUUAUAUAGUCUUAUUACUAAAGCAGUCAAUAUAAGUAAGUUGAACUUUAGUAUUGCUUUUCAAUUAGGUAGUUUUAUUUCCAUUAACCCCCCACUAAAGAAAAUAUUGCUUUAUGUAUUUUAUCUGUUUAAAAGUAAAAUUAUGAAAUAAAAUCAUUGGGUUUGUUGAGGUGACAGUUGAUUUAAGUACUUGAAGCUUGCUUAUUUCUUAUCUAAUGUAGAUUAUUGAGCUUCCUAGUUUUAUAUAUUGAUAAAUUCAGUAUACUGAAAUUAUGAAAUUUAUACUGUCUAAAUUUUCUUCAAAGUGUUCAUAUUUUAUUUACAUUUUUAUUACAAACUUGUCAGAAACCAAUUUUCUGAGUAAUGAUAAGUGAAAUGAGUGGUGUGUUAAAUGAAGUGUAAGACAUUUGAAAUGCUGGAGAAAUACAACUCAUUGUUACUGUCAUUGAUAGUGUCCUGAACAGAUGUGUUUACUUCUUGGUCCACUGUUGUGCAAGUGUGUACUGAUGCGAAUCCUUUAACUGAGAAGAGCUAACAUUGCACUCCAUAUACAGUGAUGUGUUGCACUAGAGUUGUGGAAAGACUUAGUUUCAUUUUGAUAGUAUCGUUACUUAGAGAGAUAAUUUAGUGAUGGUAUAAAGGGUAGAUUAAAUUUGUAAUUUUAAUGUUGUUUUAUGGAUUGAACUAUUUGUGAAUAUUUUCCCAUUCAAAUUAUCAGCUAUAUUUUUGUAAGUUUACUGGGAAAGAAAAAUUGUAUUGGGGGGUUGACAAAUAUCCUGUUGGAGAUAAAAUACCCUGCUGUUGUUACAGAAUAAUAUUGACAUCCUAGGCACGGUGAUGCACGCCUUUAAUCCACCAACAGCACCAACAGGGAGAGGCAGGCAGGUAUCUUUGAGUUCAAGGCUAGAUUGGCCAACAUGCCAAAUUCCAGUGAAACCAUGUCUCAAAAAAAAUUUUUUUUUGUUUUUAAAUUAAGGUACUAUUAAAACAAUAAUUUCUUUGUAUACAUGCCAGAUUUUUUUCAUUAGACUGUCCUCAGAGUAGCAAGGAGUUAUGUUUGUUGAAAUAGAUUGUAGAAGAGCCACUAUUGAUUACCUGCUUCAAUUCUGUUCUUUUUUUUUUUAAUUUUUUAUAAAGCAAUAUUUAGGUUGAUUUCAAUUUAGUUGAUUCAAAUUGUCAUGGCUUUGUUUUAUGCAUAUGUUGUUCCUGUGUGUGUGUGUGUGUCCACCAUGCAUGCAGUAACCUAGGAUGUCAGAAGAAGGCAUUGGAUUCCCCUAGAGCCAGAGUUACAGAUGGUUAUAAGCUGCCAGGUGGGUGCUGGGAUCUGGACCUGGUCCUCUUCACCACUGAGUUAUUUCUCUGCCUUUCAAAUUGUCAACUGUUUUAAGCCUAAAGAAUUCUCACCAUUUUGUGCUUUGUAAAUUUCAGAGGAAACCUUGGGUUAUAUUAGUAUUGAUUUAGUGCAGUUAACUUUAAAAACUCGUGGAAGAAUGAUUACAGUUGUCAGUGUCUAGAUUAUAAUGAAUAGAAUAUGUGUAUAAAUAAUGAUUUAGAACAACCUUUUUAUGUAAAUUCUUAACACAUCACUUUCAGGCUUUAUACAGGAAAAAGAGGGUGUUAUGCCACAAAUAACUCCUAGUGUUUUGUAUAUUUUUAAUUGUGCCAGCAUGUGUUUGCAUGCAUGCAUGUGUGUGCCUGUGCAGUCGCUGUCAUUCAUGUGGAGGUCAUGAGUGAGGGUCUGGGAUCAAACUCAGGUAGAUUAGAUUUGGUGGCAAAUGUUUUUACCCGCUGAGCUAUUCUUUUUUAGUUUUUCUGUGUAGCCCUGGAACUGUCCUGGAACUCACUUUGUAGACCAGGCUGGCCUCAAACUCAGAAAUCUGCCUGCCCCUGCCUCCGGAGUGCUGGGAUUAAAGGCGUGCACCACCACGCUCGGCAUCCACUGAGCUAUUCUUUUGGGGAAAAGAUCAUCAACAAUAAAGAGAAUGAUUAUCUUUUUUAAAAAAAAAAAAGCAUGGCUUCAUAUAACCAAUCCACAAUUGGCUUCAGACUCACUGAAUAGCUGAGAAGUCCUGAUCCUCCCUGCUGCCAUCUCCCAAGUGCUGAGAUUAUAGGAGGCAUGCCACCACCAUUUUCCCUUGAAUUGGGAAAUUUUAAUUGUUCUUUUUUAGAUAAUUAAUAGAAGUUUUAGUUAUUUGUAUUAGGAAUAAUCUAUUUUUCUUCAAAGAUUGCUUAUUAGUAACACUGUCACAUUUCAGGUGUUGUAUUGCAAUGAUUAUAUAUAUUAUAUAUACACCUCUCAGCAUGUGGUUUGUUAACUUCAAUAAGCUGUGUUACAACGUAUUUUUUGUAGCUGGGACGCAGCGAUGGUGUGAGCACUAAUCUUAGAACUAGACAAAACCACAUUACCCAUCAUUACCCUGUCUGGUGGGAACUGAAGACUUUUCAGACUGUGUGUUGAAGGUGAUAGUCUAGCACUUUUUUGUUUUUUGUUUUUCCAGACAGGGUUUCUCUGUGUGACCCUGGCUGUCCUGGAACUCAUCUCUGUAGACCAGGCUAGCCUCAAACUCAGAGAAAUCCACCUGCAUCUGCUUCCCAAUUGCUGGGAUUAAAGGCCUCAUCUAGCUCUUAGUAAUUCUUUUCUUGUUUACUUUUUACAAAGUUUUAACACCUUUUGUAAACUAAUGGGAAGACUGAGAAAGAAGCUCCUGAGUUGUUUGCCUCUCAAUUGUAUUUGUGGUUAAACUUGACUUUACAUUCAGUAGAGUUCAUUAAAAGAUUGGGUUUGGGCGUUGCUUCUUGUGUUGUAGUCUCAGUUGUCUUUUCAUAUGAGAAAUCUAAACAUUUUACUCUUAGGGUUAAUGAAUUCAUCCAAAGCUGUCAUAAUUAUCACCUCCAGUUGGAGUUCUGAUCUCGGGUUUGGUUUGUUUCUAUAUAUAUC
rnacentral:lncRNA from 1 species